rnacentral:misc_RNA from 1 species
GCAAACUCUAAUAGCAACCGAUCUUACUGUGUUUGGGAAAGCUUUUUACCCCUUUGUUGGGGAGUUUGGGGGGGAGCGGGUGUUUGUUCAUCGACUCAUCUCGAAAACAAAGGGAAAGAGAAAUAUCAAAUAAAAGGCCUUUUUUUAAUUAUUAUAUUUAGAUUAAACAAGGUACAAACGAACAUCAGAAGCCAAAAUCAUUCUAAUAAGGAUGCAAUAAAUCAUUUCAUAAAGAUACAACUGCCACAUCAAUUGCAAAGUAUAGAAGAAAGCAAACUUGGAUGAGUAUUUAUAACUAAAACCAGAAGAGAUGGCCUAGUGUGAACGUUCACAAGAGGUAUAAAGUUUACCCAACAUGAGAACUGCAUUGACAACCUACAAAAACUCUCUUGAAUUUUGCUCUUCUGAACAGUAAACUAAGAUCAGAAAAAGCAAGGCAAGGGUCUUACAGAUUCAUUUAUGCCAGGAAGCAUGGCUACCAAAACCCAAGGAAAUAAGUUAAAAGAGUCUGGCAUCUGAUUGAGACAACUGCCACUUGUUCUGCAGAACUUUUCUUCAGAACUCCUCUUAAACACAGGUGAUUCAAUAACUUAAGAGCCUCCUUUGCUAAACCUUCAUAAGCUAUUACCUUCAAUGAGUAUGGCGUAUGAAACUCCAGUGGGAUUAAAUCCCCUUGAUACCAUAUAAACCAAGAAGUCAAUGGCACAGUCAGUCUGUUGAGCCUUACAAAGUCCCAACAUAAUAGAAUUGUAAGUGAUAGCAUUGGGUUUGACCCCAAAACCUUCCAAAUCAUGAAAGAACUUAAUUGCUCCAUCAAACUUUCCUUCUCUACUAAGCCCACCAAUAAGUGAAGAGAACGAGACUAUAUCAGGCUUAAGACCCUUUGCCCACAUCUCAUUCAAAACUGACGAGCACCCUUUGCUACUUUGCUGAUUAAGAAUCUCAACUGCUGCAUCAACCUUCCCCAUCUUUGCAUAAUGCUGUUAGCAAAGUGCUACAAGUCAAUAUUAGGAUAACAGCCCCUAGACACCAUUUUCUCCAAAUAUUCAAUUGCCUUUUCCAUCUUCUUUUCUUUAAAAAACACAUGAAGCAACGGAUUGUAACUUAAAGAAUUUGGAAUGCAUCCAUGCUUAGGCAUCUUUUCCAAUAUGUUGAUUGCUGAACCUAACAAACCCUUACAACACAAGAAAUUAAUCAAUAUAUUGAAAGUAACAACACUAGGGGAACAGCCUUUGCAAAACGUUUCAGCCAAUAGCCUCUCUGCAUCCAUCCACCUCCCAUUGCUACACACGCUACGCAAAAUAAUAUCACAAGUAAUAACAUUAGGUUUGCAUCUAUAUGAUGGCAUGUUGUUCAAGAACUUGAUUGCUUCAUCCAACCUCCGUUCCUUGCUUAUUCCAUUUACGAGAACAUUUUAAGUAACCACAUCUGGUUUACAUGCCCUACUUCACAUCUCAUCCAAAAGCUUCAUGGCUUGCCCAACCCCACCUUCCCCGCAAGUUGCCUCAAAUAAUAUGGUAUAUGUGAUGUGAAUCUGGAUAGCACUUCUUUUCCAACUGCUAAAUAAGAACUUCCAUAGCUUGUUUCGAUUUCCCACUAUCACACAAAGUACAGAAUUGUAUUAUACUAGCCACAUCAGGGGCAACACACAUUAGGUACAGAACUCUCCCCGGCCUUACAAUGCCCACUAAUCAAUAAAUUAUAAGUGAUAACAUUAGGAAUUGUCUCUGAAUCCUCUACUUUCUCCAUAAUCCAAUUUGCCUUCCUAGUCUUUCUGAUCUUACAAAAACCAUGAAUUAAACUUGUGUAGAGAUUAUACCAGGAAUAUCGACUCGAUAAACCAUGCUCCAGAG